rnacentral:rRNA from 1 species
UCCAGGCCCUACGGGGUGCAGCAGGCGCGAAACCUCCGCAAUGUGAGAAAUCGCGACGGGGGGAUCCCAAGUGCCAUUCUUAACGGGAUGGCUUUUCAUUAAUGUAAAGAGCUUUUGGAAUAAGAGCUGGGCAAGACCGGUGCCAGCCGCCGCGGUAACACCGGCAGCUCUAGUGGUAGCAGUUUUUAUUGGGCCUAAAGCGUCCGUAGCCGGUUUAAUAAGUCUCUGGUGAAAUCCUGCAGCUUAACUGUGGGAAUUGCUGGAGAUACUAUUAGACUUGAGAUCGGGAGAGGUUAGAGGUACUCCCAGGGUAGAGGUGAAAUUCUGUAAUCCUGGGAGGACCGCCUGUUGCGAAGGCGUCUGACUGGAACGAUUCUGACGGUGAGGGACGAAAGCUAGGGGCGCGAACCGGAUUAGAUACCCGGGUAGUCCUAGCUGUAAACGAUGCGGACUUGGUGUUGGGGUGGCUUUGAGCUGUCCCAGUGCCGAAGGGAAGCUGUUAAGUCCGCCGCCUGGGAAGUACGGUCGCAAGACUGAAACUUAAAGGGAUUGGCGGGGGAGCACCACAACGCGUGGAGCCUGCGGUUUAAUUGGAGUCAACGCCGG